UGAGGAAUAUUGGACAAUGGGCGGAAGCCUGAUCCAGCCAUCCCGCGUGCAGGAUGACGGCCCUAUGGGUUGUAAACUGCUUUUAUUGGGGAACAAAUGUAGUUACGUGUAAUUAUUUGAGUGUACCCAACGAAUAAGCACCGGCUAACUCCGUGCCAGCAGCCGCGGUAAUACGGAGGGUGCAAGCGUUAUCCGGAUUUAUUGGGUUUAAAGGGUGCGUAGGCGGCCUUUUAAGUCAGCGGUGAAAUUUUCCGGCUUAACCGGAUUCGUGCCGUUGAUACUGUUAGGCUUGAGUAUGGUUGAGGGCGGCGGAAUGUGCAGUGUAGCGGUGAAAUGCUUAGAUAUUGCACAGAACACCAAUUGCGAAGGCAGCUGCCUGGACCAUUACUGACGCUGAUGC
rnacentral:rRNA from 1 species